rnacentral:rRNA from 1 species
GACAGAGGGUGCAAACGUUGUUCGGAAUUACUGGGGCGUAAAGCGCGUGUAGGCGGCUCGGAAAGUCGGGUGUGAAAGCCCUGGGCUCAACCUAGGAAGUGCACUCGAAAACUGCGAGGCUAGAGUACUGGAGAGGUUGGUGGAAUUCUCGGUGUAGAGGUGAAAUUCGUAGAUAUCGAGAGGAACACCGGUGGCGAAGGCGGCCAACUGGACGGAUACUGACGCUGAGGCGCGAAAAGCGUGGGGAGCAAACAGG